GAGAUAGAAGUCCUUUAUUUAUUCAUAGACCCAGGCAGCAGUGCAAAAUUCCUCAAAUUAAUCCACCUACAUGCCUCAAUCCUGACCUGGAGGGACUACCUCUAGCUGGAAGGGAAAGAAUAUAGUCUUGCUUUUCAGUGGCAUCU
rnacentral:sRNA from 1 species